rnacentral:lncRNA from 1 species
CUGCCAAGAAGGCUCCUGCCAAGGAGGAAGAGGAGGAAGAUGAAGAGGAGUCUGACAAGUCAAAGUCCGAGGUCAAUGAUGAGGAUGAUGACGAGGGUAGUGAGGAGGUAUACAUAUAUCUGCCUUUGAUGAGAAUGCUAUUCUGCUCAUGCUUUUAGAAAAGUUGCAUUGGUAUAGGCUACUCUAGGUACUAGCAGAUUGAAUUAUUAUCUGACUAGUAGAUUUUACUCUCUUGGUAGAUGCUAAGUAUAGCGGUGGAUCUCCCUGUUGAGAUGAUUUGUCCUGUGGAGGCUAAAACCUGCAUUGCAUGCUGUGUUUGCAGGAGGAAGACGAUGACGAGUGAACUCAGCUGAAGAUGAUGUGCUCCACUGAACGAUGGAGUGGUGAAUGCAAAGGCCCCGUGGCGGGAAUUAUAAGGAGCCUAUCCUAUCUACUAGAAUUAUUCAGUUUCACUUCACAUCGUGAUGUUUUACUUUUGUCGUCCUAUAACGGAUAGCGCUCCUUGUUGGCGCCAC